AGGCCUUCGGGUUGUAAAGCACUUUCAGCGGGGAGGAAGGCGKUGAGGUUAAUAACCUCAYCGAUUGACGUUACCCGCAGAAGAAGCACCGGCUAACUCCGUGCCAGCAGCCGCGGUAAUACGGAGGRUGCRAGCGUUAAUCGGAAUUACUGGGCGUAAAGCGCACGCAGGCGGUCUGUCAAGUCGGAUGUGAAAUCCCCGGGCUCAACCUGGGAACUGCAUUCGAAACUGGCAGGCUAGAGUCUUGUAGAGGGGGGUAGAAUUCCAGGUGUAGCGGUGAAAUGCGUAGAGAUCUGGAGGAAUACCGGUGGCGAAGGCGGCCCCCUGGACAAAGACUGACGCUCAGGUGCGAAAGCGUGGGGAGCAAACAGGAUUAGAUACCCUGGUAGUCCACGCUGUAAACGAUGUCGAUUUGGAGGUUGUGCCCUUGAGGCGUGGCUUCCGGAGCUAACGCGUUAAAUCGACCGCCUGGGGAGUACGGCCGCAAGGUUAAAACUCAAAUGAAUUGACGGGGGCCCGCACAAGCGGUGGAGCAUGUGGUUUAAUUCGAUGCAACGCGAAGAACCUUACCUGGUCUUGACAUCCACAGAACUUUCCAGAGAUGGAUUGGUGCCUUCGGGAACUGUGAGACAGGUGCUGCAUGGCUGUCGUCAGCUCGUGUUGUGAAAUGUUGGGUUAAGUCCCGCAACGAGCGCAACCCUUAUCCUUUGUUGCCAGCGGUYMGGCCGGGAACUCAAAGGAGACUGCCAGUGAUAAACUGGAGGAAGGUGGGGAUGACGUCAAGUCAUCAUGGCCCUUACGACCAGGGCUACACACGUGCUACAAUGGCAUAUACAAAGAGAAGCGACCUCGCGAGAGCAAGCGGACCUCAUAAAGUAUGUCGUAGUCCGGAUUGGAGUCUGCAACUCGACUCCAUGAAGUCGGAAUCGCUAGUAAUCGUAGAUCAGAAUGCUACGGUGAAUACGUUCCCGGGCCUUGUACACACCGCCCGUCACACCAUGGGAGUGGGUUGCAAAAGAAGUAGGUAGCUUAACCUUCGGGAGGGCGCUUACCACUUUGUGAUUCAUGACUGGGGUGAAGUCGUAACAAGGUAACCGUAGGGGAACCUGCGGUUGGAUCACCUCCUU
rnacentral:rRNA from 1 species